UAACAAAACAGUUCUAAAUAUAAAUGGUGGUAGAUUUUAGGAGAAACCCACCCAUACUACCACCUCUUACAAUACUAGACAACAUAGUAUCAACAGUAGAAACCUUCAGAUUUCUAGGUUCUACCAUAUCAGAAGACCUAAAAUAGACACCUAACAUCAAAAACGUCAUCAAAGAAAGCACAACAAAGAACGUUCUUUCUGCACCAACUCAGAAAGCUCAAACUGCCCAAGGAGCUGCUGAUACAGUUCUACA